rnacentral:rRNA from 1 species
GACGAACGCUGGCGGCGUGCUUAACACAUGCAAGUCGAACGGAAAGGCCCUGCUUUUGUGGGGUGCUCGAGUGGCGAACGGGUGAGUAACACGUGAGUAACCUGCCCUUGACUUUGGGAUAACUUCAGGAAACUGGGGCUAAUACCGUAUAGGAUCUCCUGCUGCAUGGUGGGGGUUGGAACGUUUCGGCGUGUGGGGAUGGACUCGCGGCUUAUCGGCUUGUUGGUGGGGUAGUGGCUUACCAAGGCUUUGACGGGUAGCCGGCCUGAGAGGGUGACCGGCCACAUUGGGACUGAGAUACGGACCAGACUCCUACGGGAGGCAGCAGUGGGGAAUAUUGCACAAUGGGCGGAAGCCUGAUGCAGAAACGCCGCGUGCGGGAUGACGGCCUUCGGGUUGUAAACCGCUUUAGCCUGUGACGAAGCGUGAGUGACGGUAAUGGGUAAAGAAGCACCGGCUAACUACGUG